rnacentral:rRNA from 1 species
UGGGGAAUAUUGGACAAUGGGCGCAAGCCUGAUCCAGCAAUGCCGCGUGUGUGAAGAAGGCCUUCGGGUUGUAAAGCACUUUUAUCAGGAGCGAAACGCUGUCGGCUAAUACCCGGCGGAACUGACGGUACCUGAGGAAUAAGCACCGGCUAACUUCGUGCCAGCAGCCGCGGUAAUACGAAGGGUGCAAGCGUUAAUCGGAAUUACUGGGCGUAAAGCGUGCGUAGGCGGUUUCUUAAGUCUGCUGUGAAAUCCCCGGGCUCAACCUGGGAAUGGCAGUGGAUACUGGGAGGCUAGAGUGUGUCAGAGGGUGGUGGAAUUCCCGGUGUAGCGGUGAAAUGCGUAGAGAUCGGGAGGAACAUCAGUGGCGAAGGCGGCCCACCUGGGACAACACUGACGCUGAGGCACGAAAGCGUGGGGAGCAAACAGGAUUAGAUACCCUGGUAGUCCACGCCCUAAAGCGAUGCGAACUGGAUGUUGGUCUCAACUCGGAGAUCAGUGUCGAAGCUAACGCGUUAAGUUCGCCGCCUGGGGAGUACGGUCGCAAGACUGAAACUCAAAGGAAUUGACGGGGUCAUAGCUGUUUCCUG